CGCGUGAGGGAUGAAGGCCUUCGGGUUGUAAACCUCGGAAAUUAUCGAAGAAUGAGUGACAGUAGAUAAUGUAAGCCUCGGCUAACUACGUGCCAGCAGCCGCGGUAAUACGUAGGAGGCAAACGUUGCUCGGAUUUACUGGGCGUAAAGGGUGAGUAGGCGGACUUAUAAGUCUAAGGUGAAAGACCGAAGCUCAACUUCGGAAACGCCUCGGAUACUGUAAGUCUUGGAUAUUGUAGGGGAUGAUGGAAUUCUCGGUGUAGCGGUGGAAUGCGCAGAUAUCGAGAGGAACACCUAUAGCGAAGGCAGUCAUCUGGGCAUUUAUCGACGCUGAAUCACGAAAGCUAGGGGAGCAAACAGGCUUAGAUACCCUGGUAGUCCUAGCCGUAAACGUUGUACACUAGGUGCUUCUAUUUAAAUAGGAGUGCCGUAGCUAACGUCUUAAGUGUACCGCCUGAGGAGUAUGCCCGCAAGGGUGAAACUCAAAGAAAUUGACGGGUCCCCGCACAAGUGGUGGAGCAUGUGGUUUAAUUCGAUGAUACGCGAAAAACCUUACCUGGGUUUGAAUUGUAAGAUGAAUGAUUUAGAGAUAAGUCAGACCGCAAGGACGUUUUACAUAGGUGCUGCAUGGCUGUCGUCAGCUCGUGUCGUGAGAUGUUGGGUUAAGUCCCGCAACGAGCGCAACCCUCACCCUUUGUUGCUACCGAGUAAUGUCGGGCACUCUUAGGGGACUGCCUACGUUCAAGUAGGAGGAAGGUGGGGAUGAUGUCAAGUCCUCAUGGCCCUUAUGUCCAGGGCUACACACGUGCUACAAUGGCAAGUACAAAGAGAAGCAAGACCGCGAGGUGGAGCAAAACUCAAAAAAGUUGCCUCAGUUCGGAUUGGAGUCUGAAACUCGACUCCAUGAAGUUGGAAUCACUAGUAAUCGUAGAUCAGAACGCUACGGUGAAUACGUUCCCGGGGAUUGUACAC
rnacentral:rRNA from 1 species